UGGCUCAUUGGUAGAGCGUUUGGCUUAAUGACCAAAUGUCGUGUGUUCGAAUCACAU
rnacentral:tRNA from 1 species